rnacentral:rRNA from 1 species
AGAUUGAACGCUGGCGGCAGGCCUAACACAUGCAAGUCGAGCGGAUGAGAAGAGCUUGCUCUUCGAUUCAGCGGCGGACGGGUGAGUAAUGCCUAGGAAUCUGCCUGGUAGUGGGGGACAACGUUUCGAAAGGAACGCUAAUACCGCAUACGUCCUACGGGAGAAAGCAGGGGACCUUCGGGCCUUGCGCUAUCAGAUGAGCCUAGGUCGGAUUAGCUAGUUGGUGAGGUAAUGGCUCACCAAGGCGACGAUCCGUAACUGGUCUGAGAGGAUGAUCAGUCACACUGGAACUGAGACACGGUCCAGACUCCUACGGGAGGCAGCAGUGGGGAAUAUUGGACAAUGGGCGAAAGCCUGAUCCAGCAAUGCCGCGUGAGUGAAGAAGGCCUUCGGGUUGUAAAGCUCUUUUGUCAGGGAAGAAACGGUGAAGGCUAAUAUCCUUCGCUAAUGACGGUACCUGAAGAAUAAGCACCGGCUAACUACGUGCCAGCAGCCGCGGUAAUACGUAGGGUGCAAGCGUUAAUCGGAAUUACUGGGCGUAAAGCGUGCGCAGGCGGUUUUGUAAGUCUGACGUGAAAGCCCCGGGCUCAACCUGGGAAUUGCGUUGGAGACUGCAAGGCUUGAAUCUGGCAGAGGGGGGUAGAAUUCCACGUGUAGCAGUGAAAUGCGUAGAGAUGUGGAGGAACACCGAUGGCGAAGGCAGCCCCCUGGGUCAAGAUUGACGCUCAUGCACGAAAGCGUGGGGAGCAAACAGGAUUAGAUACCCUGGUAGUCCACGCCGUAAACGAUGUCUACUGGUUGUUGGGGUCUUUGCUGCUUUAGUGGCGCAGUUAACGCGUUAAGUUGACCGCCUGGGGAGUACGGCCGCAAGGUUAAAACUCAAAUGAAUUGACGGGGGCCCGCACAA